AGCCCCGUGGUGUAGCGGUUAAGCAUGCCGGCUUCUGGAGCCGGAGACCCCGGUUCGAAUCCGGGCGGGGCUA
rnacentral:tRNA from 1 species